rnacentral:rRNA from 1 species
GAUGAACGCUGGCGGCGUGCCUAAUACAUGCAAGUCGAGCGAACGGACGAGAAGCUUGCUUUUCUGAUGUUAGCGGCGGACGGGUGAGUAACGCGUGGAUAACCUACCUAUAAGACUGGGAUAACUUCGGGAAACCGGAGCUAAUACCGGAUAAUAUUUUGAACCGCAUGGUUCAAAAGUGAAAGACGGUCUUGCUGUCACUUAUAGAUGGAUCCGCGCUGCAUUAGCUAGUUGGUAAGGUAACGGCUUACCAAGGCAACGAUGCAUAGCCGACCUGAGAGGGUGAUCGGCCACACGGGAACUGAGACACGGUCCAGACUCCUACGGGAGGCAGCAGUAGGGAAUCUUCCGCAAUGGGCGAAAGCCUGACGGAGCAACGCCGCGUGAGUGAUGAAGGUCUUCGGAUCGUAAAACUCUGUUAUUAGGGAAGAACAUAUGUGUAAGUAACUGUGCACAUCUUGACGGUACCUAAUCAGAAAGCCACGGCUAACUACGUG